GAUGAACGCUGGCGGCGUGCCUAAUACAUGCAAGUCGAGCGAACGGACGAGAAGCUUGCUUCUCUGAUGUUAGCGGCGGACGGGUGAGUAACACGUGGAUAACCUACCUAUAAGACUGGGAUAACUUCGGGAAACCGGAGCUAAUACCGGAUAAUAUUUUGAACCGCAUGGUUCAAAAGUGAAAGACGGUCUUGCCGUCACUUAUAGAUGGUUCCGCGCUGCAUUAGCUAGUUGGUAAGGUAACGGCUUACCAAGGCAACGAUGCAUAGCCGACCUGAGAGGGUGAUCGGCCACACUGGAACUGAGACACGGUCCAGACUCCUACGGGAGGCAGCAGUAGGGAAUCUUCGGCAAUGGGCGAAAGCCUGACGGAGCAACGCCGCGUGAGUGAUGAAGGUCUUCGGAUCGUAAAACUCUGUUAUUAGGGAAGAACAUAUGUGUAAGUAACUGUGCACAUCUUGACGGUACCUAAUCAGAAAGCCACGGCUAACUACGUG
rnacentral:rRNA from 1 species